GUCUUUUUGGUUAUUUAAUAUAAAGUCUGACCUGCCCACUGAAUUAAUUUUGAAGGGCCGCAGUAUUUUGACUGUGCAAAGGUAGCAUAAUCAUUAGUCUUUUAAUUGAAGGCUGGUAUGAAUGGUUGGAUGAGGUACAAGCUGUGUCAUAAAAAUUAAUUUUUGAAUUUACCUUUUUAGUCAAAAGGCUAAAAUAAUAUUAAAAGACGAGAAGACCCUAUAGAGCUUUAUAUAAUUUGUAUUUAAAUUAUUAAGAUUUUUUAAAUUUAAUUAUUUUAUUAUAUUUUGUUGGGGUGACAAUAAAAUUUAUAAAACUUUUAUUUUUAUUUAUCAUUAAUUUAUGAAUAUAUGAUCCAGUUUUAUUGAUUAUAAAUUUAAGUUACCUUAGGGAUAACAGCGUAAUUUUUUUUGAGAGUUCUUAUCGACAAAAAAGAUUGCGACCUCGAUGUUGGAUUAAGAGUAAUUUUGGGUGUAGAAGUUCAAAGUUUAAGUCUGUUCGACUUUUAAAUUCUUACAU
rnacentral:rRNA from 1 species